rnacentral:rRNA from 1 species
GAUGAACGCUAGCUACAGGCUUAACACAUGCAAGUCGAGGGGAAACGACAUCGAAAGCUUGCUUUUGAUGGGCGUCGACCGGCGCACGGGUGAGUAACGCGUAUCCAACCUGCCCAUCACUUGGGGAUAACCUUGCGAAAGUAAGACUAAUACCCAAUGACGUCUCUAGACGACAUCUGAAAGGGAUUAAAGAUUUAUCGGUGAUGGAUGGGGAUGCGUCCGAUUAGCUGGUUGGUACGGUAACGGCGUACCAAGGCUACGAUCGGUAGGGGUUCUGAGAGGAAGGUCCCCCCACAUUGGAACUGAGACACGGUCCAAACUCCUACGGGAGGCAGCAGUGAGGAAUAUUGGUCAAUGGGCGGAAGCCUGAACCAGCCAAGUAGCGUGCAGGACGACGGCCCUAUGGGUUGUAAACUGCUUUUAUAAGGGAAUAAAGUGAGUCUCGUGAGACUUUUUGCAUGUACCUUAUGAAUAAGGACCGGCUAAUUCCGUG